rnacentral:rRNA from 1 species
GCCAUGCCGCGUGAGUGAUGACGGUCUUCGGAUUGUAAAACUCUUUCUGAGGGGAGGAAAAUGGCGGUACCCGCAGAAGAUGGCCGGCUCACUCCGUUCCAGCCGCCGCCGGUUACGAGCCAGCCGCCGCGGUAAU